AGAGGAAGAAAUGGAGGCAGAAGAUAUUUAAUCCAAAGACAGUCAAGAAAAAGAAAUCUCAAAUAAAAGUUAUUAAAGAUCAUGGUAAAAUUAGGAAACUUCCAUCAGGAGCAGUGAAAGUCUCUUUUCAAAAGGUUGGCCGGUGAAUUGAACAGUGUGCCAAAGGAAAGUUCUGGAAGCAGGAAAUCUCCUUCAACCUUUGCCUGGCGCAAAUAGAACAGUGUGUCAAUUCCUGUUUAAAAUCCAUGUAGAUCUCAAUACAAUAGAGAUACAUCUCAGUACAAUAGAGAUACAACUCAUAAUUUCACUUUAAAGACCCAACUAAAUUCAGGAAAAAUGAUUUGAGCCCUUAAUUUUAGAAAAGAAAUAAUUGCCAUCAAGUUCUUUUUCAUACUACAAAGGAUUGUCUUUUGGCAACAGUUAAAUGUUUAGCUCAAUCUGAGCAGGGGUUUGCAAACUCUUAAUAUUUAUAUUUUAGUGAAGUAAGUUGAUUUUAUCUUAUAAUUUUAUAAAUAGGGUGUAAUUUUAAGGUUAUAUCGAACCCUGUGUUAUUUGUAACAAACUUGUACCUUCACUUAAAUGUAUCAAUAUAUGUUAAUUUUUAACAUUGUUGCAAUAUACAACUUUAUUUACAAUGUAAGAUUUUAGCCCAUCUCUU